GCAGGGGCGGACCCACAUAGAGCCCAGGGGGUUCAGUUGAACCCCCUGAAAAACAAAAAAAUUCUACUUACCCCCCUAUAAUAUAUCUUUUUUGAACCCCCUGAGAUUUUACAUUUGCACCCCUAGACCCCAACUUCUCUCUCACACACUCACAUAGUCAGAUCUCUCUCACCUCUCACGAGUUACGCUCUGAUUUCUCAAGCACUCUCACGGUCUCACCUAGGUCUGGCCGUCUGGGUCAUCAACACGCACGGCGCACCACCACCACGGCACCACUGUCCAGCCGUGCCUCACUGCCUCUGCCCUCUGGUCUGGCUCUGGGGUUCUAAUUUCUAAAGAAAUAGUGCAGAUCAAGCAAGUUGAGGAGGCUUUUGGGGCGGUUUGUGGGACUGCAGGAGGUUGGGCUACUAUUACUAAGUCCCACAUACAUUAGAUUUAGAUGUAUUUAAAAUUUACAAAGCAUACAUUUUCAAUGUGUGGAACUUGAAAGAAAGAAAAAACAAUUACUGCACAAAAUUACUAAAAAAGAAACCAGAGACAAAGAGUGAGGAAUUGGGUAAAUAAUUGAUGAUUGAUCUGUUAUGGUAAAUAUUAAUUUGGUCUUCAAGUGUAGGAAAAUUAUGUUAUUUUGUCUGCUUGCUUUGAGCAUAGGAAAGCUUUAUAUGCUGAUUAUAGCAAUGGCUUGGGCUUUGUGGGAACAUAGAAAUUGGAUUGUUUUCAAUGGAGGGUUGCUACAAGAGGACUCAAUCUUUGAUAAAGCACAGCUUAAGGUUUGGCAAUGGUUAUCUGCAAAGGGAAAGGACUUCCACUUUUCAAUGUAUGAAUGGCAAUCACAACCUAUCCUAUGCCUCCAAUCGGUUUGAUACAUACACAUACUUAUACUGUUGUGAUAUUGGGAUUGAAUUGGCUUUAUGUGCAAGGGCCUGAUUAUGAUUGGGGAUAUUCGGUGCUGGAAAUUCUAGAGCAAAGGCAGGACAACUUGAUAGCAAGUAUCUAAUUUGAAGGGAUGCUUUUGGGGGCUUUAGUUUUAAAGCUGAUCCCAUUUAGUUUUCCCCUGUUUCCUCUGUUUUUGUAAUACUCUUCUAUUUUUAGCUUUUGUUUGUAGUUUCUCCUUUCUCUUUUCUUUCUGUGUACCUUGGGUGGCACCCCUUGUGCCUUUUUAAUUUAUCAAUAUUGCUUAUCAAAAAAAAUAACGUAAAGGACAACUAUGAUAUGUAUAAUUUUGUAUAAACAUAUUACAAUUGUUUUUAAUUAUA